rnacentral:rRNA from 1 species
GUGGGGAAUAUUGGGCAAUGGGCGCAAGCCUGACCCAGCAACGCCGCGUGAAGGAAGAAGGCUUUCGGGUUGUAAACUUCUUUUACCAGGGACGAAAAAAAUGACGGUACCUGGAGAAUAAGCCACGGCUAACUACGUGCCAGCAGCCGCGGUAAUACGUAGGUGGCAAGCGUUGUCCGGAUUUACUGGGUGUAAAGGGCGCGUAGGCGGGAGAGUAAGUCAGGAGUGAAAUCUAUGGGCUUAACCCAUAAAUUGCUUUUGAAACUGUUUUUCUUGAGUGAUGGAGAGGCAAGCGGAAUUCCUAGUGUAGCGGUGAAAUGCGUAGAUAUUAGGAGGAACACCAGUGGCGAAGGCGACUUUCUGGACUGUACCUGACGCUGAGGCGCGAAAGCGUGGGGAGCGAACAGGAUUAGAAACCCUGGUAGUCC